UUGACGAACCUGCAACAGACAAGCAGGGAACACAGGAAUAAGUACCCAGGGACUAAUGAGGAAAACAGCUGACACUUGGAGGUGGAUGGAGACAAUCACAAAGACAGGACUACAAGCUGAUAUUUGGGAACUACAAGGCUCUGGCCAGUGACCGCUGGCAUGGGGGAGUGGCGACCAUCGAGAACAGCCCAGGGGAAGAGAUGUGGGGAGUGGUAUGGAGGAUGAACGUGGCUGACCUCAAGUCUCUAGACAGCCAGGAGAACGUGAGACUAAGGGCCUACAGCCCUGUGGAGGUGAAUGUGAAGACUCGGGGCCAAGAGCUCAUCUGUCGCACCUACAUCAUGAAGAGCUGUGUUUACGCUCCACCAUCGCCACAGUACCUCAAGGAGACACAACUCCUUUUACACUCUUCCCCCCCCCCUCUCUCUAUCACACACUGUCUUACUUUCUCAAUCUAGUUAUAUCUCUUUUAUUCAAAAUACAUUUAAGAACAUGGACUUGCCACUGAACUCUGUAAGACGUUAGAUACCUUCCAAAGUGUAGAGAGGAACGUUGUUAAUGAAACUGGUGCUCUCCAUGGAUAAACAGUGGGACAAUGAAUAGAAACGCAGAAAGUUGUCUCUGAAAAGGUAUUUACCAACAAAUCUUUUUUCAAAUGAAUUGUAAUAAAACAAUAUAGUCUAUAUUGUCAAAGGAGAAGCUGAAGGCCAUCUAGACCAACAAGUAUGAGGGCCCACUGCCUGUCAUGGCUGAGCUGGAGCAGAUUAUGAAAAGAGACAAAGAGAGAGCCAACCACCGAUCUGACGCUUAACAACACCUUGAACAAACUGCCAUGUUUAGGAACUCAACUCCUGGUAGGACAAUAUAAGUUUGCUUCAACAUCUUCCAUUGUCCUACCAAGAGUUGCUGAAUAUCUUCUCAUCUCCAGUUUGCUCCACUGUUCAUGCACCUUGGUUUGAAAGCAAGUAAGAGACAGCAUAUAUUUUUCUCUGGGAACUCAAACCUGCCUAGAGAGAGAACUGUGUUCACGAACUCACUGGUUAAAGAAACCCUCAACAUUACAUCUAUAAGUCCUCUUCAGGAAUAGUUAUUUACUGACUAAUAAUGAUGAUGAUGAUGAUGACACUGAGCAUCCCUCAGACUGUAUAGGGAUUAAAUGUAGAAUAAGAUCAUGUGUAUUUGUACAACUUCGGCAGACAAUAAAACCUCCCUGGAUGUUCUGUGUUGAUCUGUAUAGAGUGUACAAAGGCAUUAAAUCAGCCUCAUUCAAGAUAGCCUGGUCUCAGAUCUGUUUGUGGUGUCUUUCCAAAUCGUACGGGUCAGUGACAUGACCACGUUGUCAAAACAGCACAGAAAGAUAUGGGACCAGGCUACAUUCAAGAUCACUUCUUCUCCCCCCCCCCCCUUUUGUAUGCAAAUCCAUAAACUUCAUUGUUAGAUGAGAAUGUGUUUCCUUGAAAACAUAUUUUGAACAAUGGAAGUCUGUUUACUGUAUGUGAUUGAAGGUCUUUGAAGGUCUUUGUCUCCCAACCGAUAACGGUUGGUCGUUGUAUCAACACAGUUCAUACAAAGUUCAUUGGAAGCAGAAUACCACUGUCUAGACAUGUACACAAAAUAGGUGCUUUCUUAAACCUUAAAUAGUUAUUUGGCUCAUCCCUGUAGGAGAACCCUUUAUGGUUCCAGGUAGAACCUUUUCACCCAACAAAGACCCCUUU